rnacentral:rRNA from 1 species
UACGGGGGGGGCGAGCGUUGUUCGGAAUUACUGGGCGUAAAGGGUUUGUAGGUGGUCUGCUAAGUCAGACGUGAAAUCCCUCAGCUUAACUGGGGAACUGCGUCUGAUACUGGCGGACUUGAGGACAGGAGAGGAACGCGGAAUUCCAGGUGUAGCGGUGAAAUGCGUAGAUAUCAGGAGGAACACCGGUGGCGAAGGCGGUUCUCUGGGCAUUACCUGACGCUGAGGAGCGAAAGUGUGGGGAGCGAACAGG